rnacentral:rRNA from 1 species
UCGAGAAUCUUCCCCAAUGGACGAAAGUCUGAGGGAGCGACGCCGCGUGCAGGAAGAAGCCCUUCGGGGUGUAAACUGCUUUUUUGGGGGAACAACUCUGAGUGUACCCCAAGAAUAAGGGGCUGCUAACUUCGUGCCAGCAGCAGCGGUAAUACGAAGGCCCCGAGCGUUAUCCGGAUUUAUUGGGCGUAAAGCGUUAAUAGGUGGCUUGGUAAGUCACUGGUCAAAUCCGAGGGCUCAACCCUCGGGCUGCCGGUGAAACUGCCUGGCUUGAGGUUGGAAGAGGCAAGCGGAACUACCGGUGUAGUGGUAAAAUGCGUUAAUAUCGGUAGGAACACCAAAGGCGAAGGCAGCUUGCUGGUACACACCUGACACUCAAUAACGAAAGCGUGGGGAGCGAAUGGGAUUAGAUACCCCUGUAGUCC